rnacentral:rRNA from 1 species
UACGUAGGGGGCAAGCGUUGUCCGGAUUUAUUGGGCGUAAAGAGCGUGUAGGCGGCCACACAGGUCUGCUGUGAAAACUCGAGGCUCAACCUCGAGCUGUCGGUGGAAACCGUGUGGCUAGAGUCCGGAAGAGGAGAGUGGAAUUCCCGGUGUAGCGGUGAAAUGCGCAGAUAUCGGGAGGAACACCGGUGGUGUAGACGGCUUACUGGACCAUAACUGACGCUGAGACACGAAAGCGUGGGUAGCAAACAGG